GAGAUAACCGGUCGAGAAGAUGAAGGCUCGGAUGUGCUGCUCGUUAACUGCUGUUUUGCUGUGUCUCUCUGUGUACUUGAGCACAACAGACGCCAAAGGACGUGUCACAAAAAAGCCAGGAGUGUGUCCAAGGAACAACAUAAUAGGAAUUUGUGUUGUGAGGGAGAAUAACUGUUUCAAUGACGGUGACUGUCCGAAUGAUCAGAAAUGCUGCAGUUAUGGAUGUGGACGUCAGUGUAGGAGUCCAUAUAGAGCAAAGCCAGGAGUGUGUCCAAGCAAAACCCUUGGAGUAGGACUGUGUGUCACGUCGUGUUCCCUAGAUAGUAACUGUCCGAAUGAUCAGAAAUGCUGCAGCAAUGGAUGUGGACAUCAGUGUAUGGCUCCAUAUAAAGAAAAACCAGGAGUGGUGUCCAAAAACAACUACCAUAAUAAAAGGUGUUUGCGCGGAGUUGUGUUCUCAUGAUGGUGACUGUCCGAACGAUGAGAAAUGCUGCAGCAAUGGAUCUGGACAUCAGUGCACGGCUCUACCUAAAGAAAAGCCAGGAACGUGUCCAAUGACUUUGGCUGGAGUAAGAGGACCGUGUGAAGAGUUGUGUGCCAGUGACUUUGACUGUCCGAGAAAUGAGAAGUGCUGCAGCUCUAUUUGUGGAGGACGGAUAUGUACACCUGCAUCUUAAGUGAAGCCUGGUCUGUGUCUCAAACCAAAUGCGUGCUGAUAACUCUUCCAUGAUUGAUGUCCUUCCAGACAGAAGUGUCCCAGACACCGGUGGACAUGUAUGCAGAGAACACGCCAGUUUAUCUACUGUAAAAGGUCUUUGAUUGCCCCCCCAAUGUUGUACAUGAGGCAUUUUUGGCUUCCUCAAAUAAAUCUGUUUAAAGGUC